GCCGGGCGCAGUGGCACGUGUCUAUAGUCCCAGCUACUCGGGAGGCUGAGGCCGGAGAAUCUCUUGAGUCCAGGAGUUCUGGGCUGUAGUGCGCUAUGCUGAUCAGGUGUCCGCACUAAGUUCGGCAUCAAUAUGGUGAUCUCCCGGGAGUGGGAGACCACCAGGUUGCCUAAGGAGGGGUGAACCGGCCCAGGUCAGAAAGGGCUUGCUCAGCUCACUGCAAGCACCCAGAAGCUGUAGCUGAUGUUGGCGCCAUUUGUCGGUAUCACAAUCACGAUGAUUUAUGGAUCCAUCAGCACCCUU
rfam:Callithrix jacchus chromosome 1, whole genome shotgun sequence